AAGCCAGGAUAAUGUAGUCUUAAUCGUUCUGAAAUACGAAAAAUGUUGUGGAAAUCGCGUGAAAUAAUCAGAGGAAUCGUUUGAAAUCAUCGUAGUAAUCGCGCGAAAAUCACGUGAAAUAAUCAGAGGAAUCGUUUGAAAUCAUCGUAGUAAUCGCGCGAAAAUCACGUGAAAUAAUCAGAGGAAUCGUUUGAAAUCAUCGUAGUAAUCGCGCGAAAAUCGCGUGAAAUAAUCAGAGGAAUCGUUUGAAAUCAUCGUAGUAAUCGCGCGAAAAUCGCGUGAAAUAAUCAGAGGAAUCGUUUGAAAUCAUCGUAGUAAUCGCGCGAAAAUCGCGUGAAAUACUAUGGUAGACGGUUUGAGUAAAUUAAUGGAGUAUUUUAAU
rnacentral:ncRNA from 1 species